rnacentral:lncRNA from 1 species
GUGUUGAUGUAUUAAAAAGUUACAGAAUUUAUAAGACAAAAUAAAUAUAGAAGUUAUAAAGGAAUCACUCAUAAUUAUUCACGCAAAAAUGUAUGGAAAAGUUGUCUCGCUUUUCUCGAAGCAUUUGUAUGGAGACACUCUAUCUAUAUAAUCUAAGGCUGUGCCAAAUCAUACAUCACACCUGCUACGUCGCUACACCACAAAGAUUGCUAAAUUACUAUAGUGAAAUCACAGAUAGUUGUACGCGUUCGUAUUUAUUCGUGAGUUAUCGGCUGCGCUCGGUUGGCAAUGGGGUGAAAUCGCAACAGUUGGUCGGUUGGACCAUACACAGCGAGCGAAUAGAAAGUUUAUAACACUGCUUUAGUCUUUAUUCGCUUAUUAUUAUAAAAAUCACAAUCAUAUUUCACUUGCAAUGGUAAAUAGCAAGUGUGAUAUUAAGUCAUUGUGAGCGAAAAUCACUUGUUGUGAUUUUUUAUAUUAAAAUUUAUUUAUUAUCAGAGAACGAUUUAUUUUGUUAGUAAAAGUGACUAGACUCCUUAGGAUAUCAUACUGAAGAAGCUUGGAAAUUAGUAGACCAUCGGGGGUGGCUGACUUGACUAGACCCAAGAGCUUUUGUAAUAAUUUCACAGUGUCAUAAUGAAUGAAAUGUAGAAAUGAUUUCGUCCUAGCAAUGAUGCUUGGAUAUCAUUUUAAGGUCUGUCAUUCUAAUGAUUUGUAAUUGUGAAUAAAAAUAAUUUCACAAUUUGAUAAUGAAUAAAAUGUAGCAAUUAUUUUGCUCUAGUAAUGAAGCAUGGAUACCUUCAGCAAUCAUUUAAAGGUCUGUCAUUCUAAUGAUUUGUCACAGGUGAUUUCACAGUUAAUAAUUAUUUCACAAUAUAAUAAUAAAAUGUAGGAAUAAAUAACGUGCUUACUGUCAAACGUCGGUUGGUUUUGUAUAUAUAUUUGCUAAGUUCUAUUGAUCAAGUUGCAAUUGUAUAUUUUCGUGCAUUUUCAAUUCGUAAUAUACGUAUUACAUCACA